AUACGUAGGGGGCGAGCGUUGUCCGGAAUGAUUGGGCGUAAAGGGCGCGUAGGCGGCCCGGUAAGUCUGGAGUGAAAGUCCUGUUUUUAAGAUGGGAAUUGCUUUGGAUACUGUCGGGCUUGAGUGCAGGAGAGGUAAGUGGAAUUCCCAGUGUAGCGGUGAAAUGCGUAGAGAUUGGGAGGAACACCAGUGGCGAAGGCGACUUACCGGACUGUAACUGACGCUGAGGCGCGAAAGUGUGGGGAGCAAACAGGAUUAGAUACCCUGGUAGUCCACACUGUAAACGAUGAAUGCUAGGUGUAGGGGGUAUCGACCCCUUCUGUGCCGCAGUCAACACAAUAAGCAUUCCGCCUGGGGAGUACGGCCGCAAGGUUGAAACUCAAAGGAAUUGACGGGG
rnacentral:rRNA from 1 species